rnacentral:tRNA from 1 species
GAGGGCAUGACUCAGAGGUAGACUGCUUGUCUAACAUACUCAGGGACCUGGGUUGGAUUCCCAGUGCGCUGC